rnacentral:rRNA from 1 species
UACGUAGGGGGCGAGCGUUGUCCGGAAUCAUUGGGCGUAAAGCGCGUGUAGGCGGCCCGGUAAGUCCGCUGUGAAAGUCCAGGGCUCAACCCUGGGAUGCCGGUGGAUACUGUCGGGCUCGAGUCCGGAAGAGGCGAGUGGAAUUCCUGGUGUAGCGGUGAAAUGCGCAGAUAUCAGGAGGAACACCAAUGGCGAAGGCAGCUCGCUGGGACGUGACUGACGCUGAGACGCGAAAGCGUGGGGAGCAAACAGGAU